GCAAUUGCACUACUGGGUAUUUACCCCAAAGAUACAGAUCUAGUGAUCUGAAGGGCUACAUUCACCCCAAUGUUUAUAGCAGCAAUGUCCACAAUAACCAAACUAUG